rnacentral:rRNA from 1 species
UCGAUUCCCUUAGUAGCGGCGAGCGAAACGGGAAGAGCCCAAACCAACAAGCUUGCUUGUUGGGGUUGUAGGACACUCUAUACGGAGUUACAAAGGACGACAUUAGACGAAUCAUCUGGAAAGAUGAAUCAAAGAAGGUAAUAAUCCUGUAGUCGAAAAUGUUGUCUCUCUUGAGUGGAUCCUGAGUACGACGGAGCACGUGAAAUUCCGUCGGAAUCUGGGAGGACCAUCUCCUAAGGCUAAAUACUCUCUAGUGACCGAUAGUGAACCAGUACCGUGAGGGAAAGGUGAAAAGCACCCCGGAAGGGGAGUGAAAUAGAACCUGAAACCGUGUGCUUACAAGUAGUCAGAGCCCGUUAAUGGGUGAUGGCGUGCCUUUUGUAGAAUGAACCGGCGAGUUACGAUUUGAUGCAAGGUUAAGCAGUAAAUGUGGAGCCGUAGCGAAAGCGAGUCUGAAUAGGGCGUUUAGUAUUUGGUCGUAGACCCGAAACCAGGUGAUCUACCCUUGGUCAGGUUGAAGUUCAGGUAACACUGAAUGGAGGACCGAACCGACUUACGUUGAAAAGUGAGCGGAUGAACUGAGGGUAGCGGAGAAAUUCCAAUCGAACCUGGAGAUAGCUGGUUCUCUCCGAAAUAGCUUUAGGGCUAGCCUCAAGUGAUGAUUAUUGGAGGUAGAGCACUGUUUGGACGAGGGGCCCCUCUCGGGUUACCGAAUUCAGACAAACUCCGAAUGCCAAUUAAUUUAACUUGGGAGUCAGAACAUGGGUGAUAAGGUCCGUGUUCGAAAGGGAAACAGCCCAGACCACCAGCUAAGGUCCCAAAAUAUAUGUUAAGUGGAAAAGGAUGUGGCGUUGCCCAGACAACUAGGAUGUUGGCUUAGAAGCAGCCAUCAUUUAAAGAGUGCGUAAUAGCUCACUAGUCGAGUGACACUGCGCCGAAAAUGUACCGGGGCUAAACAUAUUACCGAAGCUGUGGAUUGUCCUUUGGACAAUGGUAGGAGAGCGUUCUAAGGGCGUUGAAGCAUGAUCGUAAGGACAUGUGGAGCGCUUAGAAGUGAGAAUGCCGGUGUGAGUAGCGAAAGACGGGUGAGAAUCCCGUCCACCGAUUGACUAAGGUUUCCAGAGGAAGGCUCGUCCGCUCUGGGUUAGUCGGGUCCUAAGCUGAGGCCGACAGGCGUAGGCGAUGGAUAACAGGUUGAUAUUCCUGUACCACCUAUAAUCGUUUUAAUCGAUGGGGGGACGCAGUAGGAUAGGCGAAGCGUGCGAUUGGAUUGCACGUCUAAGCAGUAAGGCUGAGUAUUAGGCAAAUCCGGUACUCGUUAAGGCUGAGCUGUGAUGGGGAGAAGACAUUGUGUCUUCGAGUCGUUGAUUUCA